GGGGAUAACACUUGGAAACAGGUGCUAAUACCGCAUAACAGUUUAUGCCGCAUGGCAUAAGAGUGAAAGGCGCUUUCGGGUGUCGCUGAUGGAUGGACCCGCGGUGCAUUAGCUAGUUGGUGAGGUAACGGCUCACCAAGGCCACGAUGCAUAGCCGACCUGAGAGGGUGAUCGGCCACACUGGGACUGAGACACGGCCCAGACUCCUACGGGAGGCAGCAGUAGGGAAUCUUCGGCAAUGGACGAAAGUCUGACCGAGCAACGCCGCGUGAGUGAAGAAGGUUUUCGGAUCGUAAAACUCUGUUGUUAGAGAAGAACAAGGACGUUAGUAACUGAACGUCCCCUGACGGUAUCUAACCAGAAAGCCACGGCUAACUACGUGCCAGCAGCCGCGGUAAUACGUAGGUGGCAAGCGUUGUCCGGAUUUAUUGGGCGUAAAGCGAGCGCAGGCGGUUUCUUAAGUCUGAUGUGAAAGCCCCCGGCUCAACCGGGGAGGGUCAUUGGAAACUGGGAGACUUGAGUGCAGAAGAGGAGAGUGGAAUUCCAUGUGUAGCGGUGAAAUGCGUAGAUAUAUGGAGGAACACCAGUGGCGAAGGCGGCUCUCUGGUCUGUAACUGACGCUGAGGCUCGAAAGCGUGGGGAGCAAACAGGAUUAGAUACCCU
rnacentral:rRNA from 1 species